UUAAAUCUUAUUAAUGUAAUCAUGGUUUUCUAUAUAUUAAGAAGUAAAAAAAUUAUUUUUGAAAUGUAUUUUUUUAGUAGAGUGAAUCGAAAUAUUUUAUAAUAAAUUAUAGACUAAAGUACUGUAAAGGAAAGAUGAAAUAAUUUGAAAAAUGUAUUAAUAAAAAGUAAAGUUAAAUUCUUGUACCUUGUGUAUUAGGGAAAAUCAAAAUAAUCUUAUUAUUUAAAGAAAUCCCGAAAGAAAAAGAGCUAUUAUAAAUAUAUAGUUUUCGUAUUAAUGAAAUUAUCAAAUUUAUACUAGUAGUGAAAUGCUAAUCGUUUUUUCAUAUCUGGUUAUUGGUGAAUUAAAUUUAAUUUGAUUAUAUUGAGGUAAUCAAAAGCUUUAAUAUAAUAAAGAAUAGGAGGGAAAAGCUUCUUGUUCUAACAUAGGUGUGUUAUGAUAUAAUGAAUAAUUAUUUUAUUGAAUUAGGCUUAAAAACAGCUAUAUUAAUAAAACGUUCUAGUUAAUAUAAUUUUUCUUUAUUAUUUUAAUAAAAUGAAUCUAACUUGUAGUAGCCAAUAUUUAUGUUAAGUAAAAUACCAUAAGUUAUAAUGAUUUUAUUAGUAGAAAUACAUUUGUGUAAAUAGAUAACAUUAAAUAAUCUAUAUAUUUUUAUUUUUUUUAGGUAUAAUUAAGGAACUCGGCAAAUACUACUUUUGCCUGUUUAUCAAAAACAUGUCUAUAUGAUUGUUAUAUAAAGUCUAGCCUGCCCACUGAAUUAUUUUUAAAGGGCCGCGGUAUACUGACCGUGCGAAGGUAGCAUAAUCAUUAGUCUUUUAAUUGAAGGCUUGUAUGAAUGGUUGGACAAAAAGUAAUCUGUCUCAGUUAUAAUAGUUGAACUUAACUUUUAAGUGAAAAGGCUUAAAUACUUUAAGGGGACGAUAAGACCCUAUAAAACUUAACAAUAAUUUGAUUAAAUUAUAAAUUGUUAGUAUAACUUGAUUUUAAUUAAUGUUUGUUGCGUUGGGGCGACGGGAAUAUAAUUAGUAACUGUUCUUAAAUAUUUUAUUAACAAGUAUAAUUGAAGAAUAAUUGAUCCUUUAUUAAAGAUUAAAAGAUUAAGUUACUUUAGGGAUAACAGCGUAAUCUUCUUUGAGAGUCCUCAUCGACAAGAAGGUUUGCGACCUCGAUGUUGAAUUAAGGUAUCCUUAUAAUGCAGCAGUUACAAAGGAAGGUCUGUUCGACCUUUAAAUCCUUACAUGAUUUGAGUUCAGACCGGCGUGAGCCAGGUCGGUUUCUAUCUCUUAAUUUUAUUAUAAUUACUUUAGUACGAAAGGAUUAAGUAGUUAAAAUAAUUUUAUUUAUAUGAUUAAUUUUAAUUUAUUU